AACGAACGCUGGCGGCAGGCUUAACACAUGCAAGUCGAACGCGUCCUUCGGGACGAGUGGCAGACGGGUGAGUAACGCGUGGGAACGUACCCUUUGGUUCGGAACAACAGCGGGAAACUGCUGCUAAUACCGGAUAAGCCCUUCGGGGAAGAUUAUCGCCAGAGGAUCGGCCCGCGUUAGAUUAGCUUGUUGGUGAGGUAAUGGCUCACCAAGGCUACGAUCUAUAGCUGGUCUGAGAGGAUGAUCAGCCACACUGGGACUGAGACACGGCCCAGACUCUUACGGGAGGCAGCAGUGGGGGAAUCUUGGACAAUGGGGCGAAAGCCUGAUCCAGCCAUGCCGCGUGAAUGAUGAAGGCCCUAGGGUUGUAAAUUACUUUCGACGGGAAGGAUAAUAGACGGUACCCGUAGAAGAAGCUCCGGCUAACUUCGUG
rnacentral:rRNA from 1 species